UCCCAAAAAAAAUUUUCCAUCUUCCAUCUCCUCGCUCUGAUUCCCAUUCCCAGGAAGCACCGGAAUUCCGGGAUACCCAUUGUGGGAGAGCCAUCUCCUUCCCACGUCCGGUUCCCAGCGGCCGGAAUUCCAAAAUUCUGGAAUUCCCAAGAAUUCACUCACCCAACCAAUCCCGGCUUGGAAUUUCACGGGAUCGGAUCCCGACCAGAGGGAUCGCAGAGUCAACUUGGAGCCGCCCAAUGGGAUCCCAACCGGGAAAAUCCGCCUUGCUCUCCCUCCUCCUCCUCCUCCUCUUGGCCGCUCUGAUCCUGCCAAUCCCUGGAGAAAUCCCUUCCCGCCGGCUACCGGGAGCACGAGGAUCCCCGGGAAUCCCCGGGAUUGAUCCGGUGCGGCGAGUACAGCAACCAGGUGCUGCCGGACGGGCGGUGCCGCGUCGUGGCCACGCUGCCGCAGGGCGACGAGCAGCGCUGCCCGGACCUGUUCCGCUGCACCGACGAGGUCUCCUACUGGCUCCACGAGAACGAGGAGCGCAAGCAGCAGAUCCUGGAGCUGCGGGAGCUCAUCUCCGAGCUCCAGGAGGAGCUCCGCAACCACCGGCACCGGCUCAAGGCCCUGGAGAUACAGGAGGAGGCGUCGGGGCAGAACCGGAGCCUGCUCCAGAGGCUGCAGGACCUGGAGCAGCAUUCCCGGGAAUCCAGCACGCUGCAGCACAUCCAGGCCACGCUGCUCUACGACAUCCAGGCGCAGAUCAACAACAUCUCGGCGCUGGCCGACUGGGCCUGGAGGAACCCCAGCUGCCUCCACGCCGGCGCCGACAUCCGCGUCCAGGAGGAGAUGCGGCAUCCAGGUGGGAGCGGGAAUGGGGCCGGGAAUGGGGUCAGGAAUGGGGCCGGAAUG
rnacentral:lncRNA from 14 species